UGCUUGACUCUGAAUUAGAGCUUUCCCAGUAUAAACUUUAUAAAACUUUAACCAAAAAAAAAAAAAAAUAAAUAAAUAAAUAAAUAAAUCAAAAUUAAAAAGGGGCAUAACUCUGUCAAAAUUCAAACCAGAAUUAUGGGGUUUGUUUCUCCUGGUAUAGACUUUGACAGUAAAUAACUAUUUUGAGUUUCAAGUCAAUAACUUUGAUAGUAACAGAGAUAUUUGAAUUAAUCAAAAACUUUUACCAAAUAUUCUAAGUUAGAAAAGGGCAUAACUCUGUCAAAAUUCAAAUCAAAGUUAUGGGGAUUGUUUCUCCCGGUGCAGACUUUGAUAGUAAAUAAGUAUUUUAAGUUUCUAGUCAAUAGCUUUGAUUGUAACAUAUAUUUGACUCUAUCAAAAACUUUAACCAAAAAUUCUAAGUCAAAAAGGGGCAUAACUCCAUCAAAAUUCAAAUUAGAGUUAUGGGGAUUGUUUCUCCUGGUGUAGACUUUGUUUAAUAGUAAUAACUAUUUAAGUUUCAAGUCAAUAGCUUUGAUAGUAACAGAGAUAUUUGACUUUAUCAAAAACUUUAACCAACGGCGACGCCGACGCCGACGCGACGCCGACACCGGGGCGAGUGCAAUAGCUGUACCUUUUCUUUGAAAAGUCGAGCUAAUAAAAUCAAAGAAAACAUUUUAGACUGCUAUCAUUUUCAAUCAUCGCACGCAGAGAAGUAUGUUCACAUUUUUUUUUCUUUUAUGACUUUAAUGUUUAAGUGAAGUAAACAAAACGUGAUUUAAGAAGAAAAUUAAACUUUGCAAUUUUCAAGAAAAAGUGAUGCUGAUGUGCAUAUAUUUUAUUUUGAAAACGCUACAGCUUUCAUUAUUUGAAACUAUAUGAUAGCUUUGAAAAGUGAUAUAUUGAUAAUGUGACUGCAAAAAAGUAAUGUUAAUUUUAUCAUUGUUCUGAUUUUCAAUCAUACAUUCUUAAUUGUGAUUUGCCAUUACAUUAUUUUAUUAUUUUAAUCAUAAGUUUGUUUGUAGUUGUAUUUUAUUUUCAUUAUGUCAUGUUGCACGUAAGUUAUUUUUAUUUUAUACCAUACAUAUACCAUAAUACCUUCUUAUUCGUCCAUUUAUUCGUUACAGAACACAGAAGUAUGCGUCUUGAAACAGUGUUUUUCGCACUUGCUGUGGUAUCUUUGACCACUGUCACUGAAGGACACCCUAGGUGGAGACACAACAAGCUUACUUGGUGCCAAAGCAUAACCCCAGAACCAACAGAACGAAUUGUACAGAUGAGAACUCUGGUUGGAUCUUGCAGGGCCGACGUUGGCACACGUCCAGUGGGUUCCUGUUCAACUAAAACUAAAUAUUUCAAUUUUUGUUCUGAUGACGGCUACGUGUGCCCCGAAACAGAGACAUGAACUGCAGACUGUGGCUUUUUACGAGUAUGUCAAACAAUGUGGAUGUUGUAAGGACAAUGGUGUCGUUGUGACAGGUGUUGUUAAAGAUGCAGACACCAAUGAACCACUAAGUAAAAUAAUUGUUUAUUUUGACGGCAGAUUCGUUGACUACACUGGAGAAGAUGGUCGGUUAAAAUCAACCACAAAGUCGAGUGUACGAUCUAUUUUGGUAACGAAAAAGGACAGGAGUAGAAAUUACAUGGCUGCUGUCAAAAUUGGUGAUAUACCGGAAGGUUUUAGAGGCCCAGUAGAAGUUGAACUAUAAGUUACUCAAAAAUCUAAACCAGUGGAAAUUGACUCAACGGUUGAUACAGUGCUUUCUCUUUCAAAUGAUCCACUAGACCCAAAUGCUGGUAAUGCUGUUAUUGAAAUUCAAGCCAAUUCGUUUACUGACCGCCAGGGUAGACCUUACAACGGAAAAUUAAAUGCCCGCGUUACAUAUAUUGACACCGUCGGCAGCCCAGACGCAGUUGCCCCUGGUCGAUUCCAAACCUUAGAUGGAGAUACGAUAGAACCUCUCAUCACCGACGGAGUUGCUUCAUUUAAUUUUGAAAGCACUGGCGGAACAUUUAUCAAACUCUUUGCGCCCGUGAAAUGCACCGGAAGAGAAGGUAUGAAAGUUUAGGAACUAAAUACGAGAACAGGUUUAUGGGAACCUGCAAGGGUUGUUCAGGGUAGAAGGAAACAUCAGGCUACUCUUGAUGACAUAAUCAACAUUGAAAGCGAUCGUUGGUGCCCCUAUGUGCUACUUCAAAAGUAGAAUCUUAAACGAAACUAGUGGAGACGAGAUAACGAUAAGUAUUACUACGUCAUUUAGACCAGAAAUAACUGCCUAUACUUCUACUGGACAACGUCUCCGAUUGUAAGCUGACUUUACAAGCGAACCCAGUACUUCCUGCUACGAAGUAAGAUGUCCUGUUGUCAACAUUCCAAAUAAUUCUUUGGCUGGGUUCAUUAACAUGUCUGCUACAGAAAUUGUUUCUUUUGGAGGGAUAAAUUUACCGUCCAAAAUUUACCUUACUCCGAGAGAAUUCGUUAAUUAUGAUGCCGUGAUAAAACCGAGACUGUCUGCCGUGCAAUAUGAGAUUGCACCAAAUGACGUAGACGUUUUCGUUAACUUUGUUUCCGAUACUGCUGGGCCAUUUUAUAGGAACAGAAAUGCUUGCGAAAGCUCGAGCGUGACACAGCCUGCAUUGCAUUUCUUAAAACCAGAACCGCCGAACUACGAACCUGCUCCAGAUGUUGAUGAAAUUUGUACUCCAAGGAUGGCUUUCAAGGAGAAAGGAAACCUUUUUUAUUACGCAUCAAAUUUAAAAAACUUACCAAAUGUAACGGGAAUCAGCGUAUGGGAAGAGAAUGGCUCAAAAUCGUACUUUAUCGAUGAUGCUCGAAUGGAAUUUUCUACGGGUGGGAAUGAAACAUUUAUAUUUAUAUGUCUAAAAUACUGAUGUAGUCAAGGCAACGAAUCUACAACAGUUUACCUGGAUAUAGAUAUCCCUACAGUUAACGUAACGUACAAUCGCACGUAUCCGAACGGUUCUGUCGUCAGCUUUACCUACCUAGGUCGACAAGAGUUUGAUUGCUAUGGAAAAAGUGCUGGAGGAUCUGAAUUUUCUGAACAGGAAGGCUGUGAUAAUGUAGCAGCUAUUGAAGGAUCAUUAAUUGCCCCAGAAGACGUUACAUCAGGACCAGACUUCUACGACUCGGAGACGAACGACUGCACACAAGGGUCGGACCCUGAAACAUUUGCGUAUGUGUUUUAUUGCUAUAGCAGGAGCAAGCAAAGGUGUCAAGCGUCUUAAAUAUUUAAAACAUUUACAAGAUCAACCGAUUAACAAUUUUCCAGCGUUAUUGUGAAUCUUAAAAAGAAAGUUUAAUGCUAUUUUCGUGAUAUAUCUUUAGCAGCUAAAGAUCUGUUACUAAGGAAUUUUAAAUACUUUUGCAUUUUAACAUACCAUCUUGCAGUAAUUACGAAUCUCAUAAAAAAGAUUUUAUUGAAAUAGAUGUUUGCAACAACGAUGCUGCUCAUACAACGGCUUGUUACACAUUUUUUUAAUUUAAUGUCUGUUUUUACUUUACAUGUCUCGAGCAGUAUAAUCCUUUCAAUUUUUACUUAGUGUUUAUUGACGUCUUAAUAAGAAUUUAGAUUUGAUAAAUGUCAUGAAGGUACAAAUUUUAAUUUCAGGAAUAAAAUAAACGAACUCACGUUGCACUUUAGGAAAAUGUUUACUAAUAAAAUUUAAGUAUA